GAUGAACGCUGGCGGCGUGCCUAAUACAUGCAAGUCGAGCGAACAGAUAAGGAGCUUGCUCCUUUGACGUUAGCGGCGGACGGGUGAGUAACACGUGGGUAACCUACCUAUAAGACUGGAAUAACUCCGGGAAACCGGGGCUAAUGCCGGAUAACAUUUAGAACCGCAUGGUUCUAAAGUGAAAGAUGGUUUUGCUAUCACUUAUAGAUGGACCCGCGCCGUAUUAGCUAGUUGGUAAGGUAACGGCUUACCAAGGCAACGAUACGUAGCCGACCUGAGAGGGUGAUCGGCCACACUGGAACUGAGACACGGUCCAGACUCCUACGGGAGGCAGCAGUAGGGAAUCUUCCGCAAUGGGCGAAAGCCUGACGGAGCAACGCCGCGUGAGUGAUGAAGGUCUUCGGAUCGUAAAACUCUGUUAUUAGGGAAGAACAAAUGUGUAAGUAACUGGGCACGUCUUGACGGUACCUAAUCAGAAAGCCACGGCUAACUACGUGC
rnacentral:rRNA from 1 species